UACGGAGGGAGCUAGCGUUGUUCGGAAAUACUGGGCGUAAAGCGCACGUAGGCGGCGCAGCAAGUCAGGGGUGAAAUCCCGGGGCUCAACCCCGGAACUGCCCUUGAAACUGCAGUGCUAGAAUCUUGGAGAGGCGAGUGGGAAUUCCGAGUGUAGAGGUGAAAUUCGUAGAUAUUCGGAAGAACACCAGUGGCGAAGGCGACUCGCUGGACAAGUAUUGACGCUGAGGUGCGAAAGCGUGGGGAGCAAACAGGG
rnacentral:rRNA from 1 species